rnacentral:lncRNA from 1 species
NGGUGGAUUCAUCGACGGUAUUAUACUAAAGCAUUUUGUAAGAAUGUAUUUGAUAGUAUAAGAUUCUGGUAAUUGAAGAAAAUUGUGAUAGUUAAGGGGCUUGAUUAUUUUGAUAGUCACAAUUGACGGAGGUGUAGGAGUGUAUGUAAGUUAAUUAUUCUGUUUGGAAGACACAUAGGCUGAUCAUGUUUGUGAUCUUCACUUUAUAAAUAUUUUUAGUGUUUCCACUUUGAAAAUAUAGAAUUAGUACGAUGAACAAAACCAUGUAUUUCCAAACAUACAAAAAUUUCAGUAACUCACAGGAUAUUCUUAUUGUUAUACAGAUCGGAUGCAUCGCAGUGGGUGCAGGACAGAAUCAGAGUUUUGACAUCCCUUAAACUUUGUAGAAUGAACUGAAUUUUUGAUUUCUUUUGAACUGAAGCAGCAAGGCACCAAUUAGUACUCUGAACUAAUUUUAGGAUGUUGAUGAUUUGCCGUCGUUUCUUUGUUAAGUUGAUGCCAUCUAAUGUGUUUAUAAGCGAUUCAAGAUUUGCAGCUAGAUUGAGUGGAUGAACUUGCUUUGGAGGUGCGAUUAUAAGCUUGUGUACUCUUUGCUGUUAACACAAACUUGAUGUUUAUUAAAACUUUGAGUUGAUAAUUUAGUGACUGGGCUGCACAUAUUUUUAUUUGGAGAUGUUCAGGAUUUAGUUUGUGUCUCUUAUUUAGGAGAACAUAAAAGUACUUCUCAUUUUGUGGAUUCAUUUUUAGUUACUUAUUACAUUUGGGAGAGUGCAUUAGCACGAUGUGCUUAAGGUGAUAAUUUUAGUACACUGGAGAGUCGUACAUUUGCAGAAUAGUUGCAUUGCAUGUGAUUAAUAUAUUUAGCGGAAAAUUUUGGUGGUGGCCUAGAUGA